rnacentral:misc_RNA from 1 species
UACGUGAACCCCAAGCGUUACCCGGAAUCACUGGGCGUAAAGGGUGUGUAGGCGGUUAUGUUAGUCUCUUGUGAAAGCCCGCGGCUCAACCGCGGAGGCGCGAGAGAAACGGCAUAACUAGAGGAUGCGAGAGGUUACGGGAACUCAUGGUGUAGGGGUGAAAUCCGUUGAUAUCAUGGGGAACACCGAAAGCGAAGGCACGUAACUGGCGCAUUCCUGACGCUCAAACACGAAAGCGUGGGUAGCGAACGGG